UACGGAGGGUGCGAGCGUUGUCCGGAAUCAUUGGGCGUAAAGGGUGCGCAGGCGGCCAAGUGUGUGAGGCGUGAAAGCCCGGGGCUCAACCCCGGAAUUGCACCUCAAACUACAUGGCUAGAGUACUGGAGAGGGUAACGGAAUUCAUGGUGUAGCAGUGAAAUGCGUAGAUAUCAUGAGGAACACCAGAGGCGAAGGCGGUUACCUGGACAGUUACUGACGCUCAGGCACGAAAGCUAGGGGAGCAAACAGG
rnacentral:rRNA from 1 species